rnacentral:tRNA from 1 species
AGCCAACCGGCCAAGAAGCAGAUCAGCCACCAUGUGAGGCACCAAAGAGGUGUUCCACUUCUAAUCCGACGGUCGCAGGUUCGAAUCCUGCAGGGC